AAGCAUAUCUUGUGUCCCGAUACCAUCAAGGACACUAGGCGUCUGAGGAUCCACUUUUUAAAGCACAUCACCUUGAAAAUCCCUCAGACGCCAUGGCAACACAUCGUUUUAUCUUUGUUAUCAGUAAGCAAGUUGCCACUCGUGCUUCAGCUGACUAAUCCUGCUCAUCAUAUUGAACAUGGGGUGUGUAGCGUGCAGCUUCUUCCACGAAAAACCAGCCGACAUUAGUGACCUCAUCUGUCAGGCGUAAAGUAAAAAUGAUAAAUGUAAUGUUCAUACAUUAGCCCAAAAACAACGGAAGUUUGGCAAAAAUACAACAGGAAGUCAAGACUCUCAUUCAGGCUUAAUUGCAGGAAGAAAUCCCCUCCGGACUGUCUGCGAUAGCCUGGAACAUUGGGAAAGAUGCCGCUCAGCGCACGGGAUAGUAGUGACAAACAUAGCAAGAGGGGAGGAUGACUCUGCCUGGCCUACUUUUAAGGUUUCUUAAAUAUUCAUCAGCCCACUUCCAAAACCUGCACGUCACUUUUCCUUGUUUUGAAAGAGCCUAUCCAUCAGGAUGAGGCUUUUGUUUUGUUCCGUGUCAGACUCUCUGGAUGAUGGAUGUCUCUUUGAAUGCGGGGUAAAACCUUCCACACUAACGAGGGCUUGUUGGGUUUUUAUGAACUCUGCGUGUGCCACAGCGGAGCCCAAAGAGAGCCACAAAGCGCUAAAACAGACAGGCAGCCGAGGAAAAAAUCAAUAAGGAAAAGAUUAUUUUACAGAAAAAAAAAAUCUGUGAGAAAAAGCAAAACUUUGAUUAUUAUGUUUCGACAUAACCAUCAAUACUAAAGGAGAAGAAGAGUUUUUUACUUUUAAAGUGAGGUCUUCAACAUUUACCUGGAUUUAGGAAAAAUAAGAAAAAUAAACAAAUAAUUAACUUUUUUUAAAUUAGCUGCUUGAGGAAUUUUUUUCAAUUGGUCAGAAAUAUUUUUGGUUUGAAUUCUCUAUUAGCCAAAGUGAGGUGGUAUUUCCUGCACGCCCUCACAGUUUGAGCUUGAUGAAUUUUGGCAUUGUCACGUUGGAAUAUCCCCGUUCCAUCAACAGAGAGGGGGGGGAAGUACUACGGGAAAACUCAUUCAGUCUAAUGAGGCAGUCAGCUGACCAGACUUGUUGCUACCUGAAACAUUAAUCAGAGCAGUACUUUUCCGCUGGAGGCCCUUUGUUUCAUUUACUCUUUUUUUUAUAUAUAAAAAAUUGUGUUUUUGGUGUUUUUAACGUGUUCUUGUGACAUUUUUUCUCAUGAUGGAGGACAUAAAUGAGGAAAUUGAAGCUUAAAAAAGCAUUCCUGUGUAUUUAUUUAUUUAUUCAAAUCAUUGUGAAUCCAGAGCAAAUGAAAAUAUGCCGUUGGGAAAAAACUUGUAUUUGUGACAGAAAUACACUGGGCGACUAGAUUUUCAUUUUCCUCAUCUGAGCUGCUAUCUGGUUAAAAAAUGUACGGCUGGAUAACUCACCAUUUUUGUUGCACCGGUAUUGUUUUGUGGGGGGUUGUAAUGGGCUGUAAACUAGCAGGACAGAGAGUAAACAGAUAGGUGACGGGAAAUGGGAGCGGGCUUACACUCCGCCCACAACUUACUCAGAGAGGAAUUUCCAAUGAACUACUGCAGAAACUAUGUCCUGGAAAAACUGUGUUUUUUAUGGGUCUAUU